rnacentral:rRNA from 1 species
GGUGAACGCUAGCGGCAGGCUUAAUACAUGCAAGUCGAGGGGCAGCAUGAGUGUAGCAAUACAUUUGAUGGCGACCGGCAAACGGGUGCGGAACACGUACACAACCUUCCUAUAAGUGGGGAAUAGCCCAGAGAAAUUUGGAUUAAUACCCCGUAACAUAAUAAUGUGGCAUCACAUUAUUAUUAUAGCUUCGGCGCUUAUUGAUGGGUGUGCGGCUGAUUAGAUAGUUGGCGGGGUAACGGCCCACCAAGUCUACGAUCAGUAGCUGAUGUGAGAGCAUCAUCAGCCACACGGGCACUGAGACACGGGCCCGACUCCUACGGGAGGCAGCAGUAAGGAAUAUUGGUCAAUGGACGCAAGUCUGAACCAGCCAUGCCGCGUGAAGGAUUAAGGUCCUCUGGAUUGUAAACUUCUUUUAUCUGGGACGAAAAAAGGCGAUUCUUCGUCACUUGACGGUACCAGAUGAAUAAGCACCGGCUAACUCCGUGCCAGCAGCCGCGGUAACAC